GCGCCCGUAGCUUAAUGGUCAAAAGGCUAAGAAUGCUCAACGGAGGAUGUUUAUCGAUUUCUGCUUACUGAGAGUUGCAAGCCUGCCCUGGAUAUGUCAACUGUUGGAGGCGAAGAUCGGCAUUCUAGAUACCUUCGUAAGGCAAGGAGGCCGAAGAGUGCUGGGCUAUUACCCCGGAGGCGCGGGUUCGAUUCCCGUCGGGCGUA
rnacentral:tRNA from 1 species